rnacentral:rRNA from 1 species
UACAGAGAGUGCGAACGUUGUUCGGAAUUACUGGGCUUAAAGCGCACGUAGGCGGCAUCGCAAGUGUCCGGUGAAAUCCCACGGCUCACCCGUGGAACUGCCUGGCAGACUGCGAUGCUCGAGUGUGGUAGGGGAGAGCGGAACUCCUGGUGGAGCGGUGAAAUGCGUAGAUAUCAGGAGGAACACCGGUGGCGAAGGCGGCUCUCUGGUCCACAACUGACGCUGAGGUGCGAAAGCUAGGGGAGCAAACGGGAUUAGAUACCCGCGUAGUCC